CCUGCCCUUGUGUGGGCACGGGGCGGGGCGGAGAGAGGCCGAGACGGGGCGCCGCGCUUCCCGGGCUGCUCUGGGCCAGGAUGGGCCGCCUCGACGGGAAGGUGGUGGUCCUCUCCGCCGCGGGACAGGGCAUCGGCAGGGCCUGCGCCAUCGCAUUUGCGAAAGAAGGGGCCAAGGUGAUUGCCACAGACAUCAAUGGGGAAGCCCUGAAGGAGUUGGAGCAAAUUCCAGGCAUAGAGGUUGGAGUCCUGAAUGUGACGAGCAAGGAUCAGAUCGAGGCUCUCGCUGCCAAUAUUGACAAAGUGGACGUCUUGUUCAACUGUGCAGGGUUUGUCCACCAUGGAACUAUUUUGGACUGCGAGGAGAAAGACUGGGAUUUCACCAUGAACCUCAACGUUAAGGGGAUGUACUACAUGAUCCGUGCGUUCCUACCCAAGAUGCUGGCUCAGAAGUCGGGCUCCAUCAUCAACAUGGCAUCUGUGGCAUCCAGCAUCAAAGGCGUGGCCAACCGCUGUGUGUACAGCACCUCAAAGGCGGCCAUCAUAGGACUCACAAAAUCUGUGGCUGCGGACUUUUUAACGGAAGGCAUUCGCUGCAAUGCUGUCUGUCCUGGCACGGUGGACACUCCGUCACUGCAAGAGCGCAUCAAUGCUCAGCCUGACCCAGAAAAGGCGAUGUGGACAUGCCCACCCUGACUGAGGAUUGCCGGUCAGAAAGGUACGAAGCUAUCCACUUGAGUGCUGAGCCGCAUAUACCGAAGUCGGAUUUCAGGAGGGAAGUAAGGAGCGAAUGGUUGAUGGUGUCGAAGGCUGACGAAAUGUCCAGACUUACAAGUGCAACAGUUGAGCCGGAAUCAACGAUCGUUAAAAUGUCAUCGAGCACCCUAGUGAGUGCUGUUUCUGUGGAAUAGUUUUGACGGUAAGCUGACUGGAAGUUGCAGUAGUUUGCGGAGGAGGUGACGUGUGGUUGUAGCUGGGCGAGGGCUAGUCGUUCAAGGAGUUUAGAGAGGUUUGAGAGGUUAGUGAUGGGACGAUAACUAGAUGGGUCAUCCGGAUCUAGAUUUGGUUUCUUUAACAAGGGAGAAACCAGGCCAGAUUUGAGGUUGGACGGAAAACACCCCGAAGAGAAGGAGGCAUUUGCGAUGUUCCUGAUCAUGAUGGCGAGUUCCGGAGCACAUUGCUUGAACAAGGAACCUGGGAGCACGUCGAGUGGAGAUGACUUCAAAGGAAGUGAUUCAAUUAAAGCGAAAACGUCUUUUGUAGACACAGGCUUUAGCAUAGUUAGAAGAGUGUCUGGGUUAGUGCUUACAAUUUUAGGUACCAUGAGCGGGGUACAAUGGUGCAAUGUGUCAGUAGACGUGCACGAGUUUGCGACGGCGAUUAGCUUGUUGUUGAAGUAAGUAUUAAAAGAGGUGGCAAGUUUCAGUGAGGCAAGGGGAUCGCUAAGGUGAGGGACCAUGGUGCUACCAGGAUGGAGAAGAUCUUUGAGAGUUUUCCAUAGAAUGCGCGGGUUUCCGGUUGCUUUUUUGAUGCGUUCCUCAAUGUGGGAGGAACGUGAGACAAGGAUCAGUUUGUUAGUUUUCCUGCAGGCGACUCUGUAAGCAAGUCGAUCAGCAGGUAGACCACUGCGGGAUGCGAUACGUUCAAGACGCCUCCUGGUUCGCUUAGCAAUGAUGGCAUCUCUUGAGAGCCAGUGAGUGUCGUGAGAAGACUGCCUAGCGGUUCGUGAUUUUAAUGGAGCUAGUUUGUCCAGCGCCGCCCUCAUGUCAGCUUCUAGUUGGAGAGCGCAGACGGUUGGAUCCGAUGAUGGGGAUAACAUUGAAAGCGAGUUUGCAAGGAGGUGACGAAAAGCAGAAAAUUCGAUACCCUUAAAAUUACGCAAGUUGCGGGUGAAUUUGAUGGUGAUUGGCUUCGGAAAAUGGAGGGAAGAAAGUAUAAGGCGGUGGUCGGAGUAACCAGUUUGGAAAACUCCCAGUGCAGUGAUGCGUCGGUGCUGGUUAGGUUCCAGAACCAGGUCGAGCAUGCUCUCAACGUUUGUUGACGAAGCUCUGGUGGAGCCUGAGUUUGUGAUGACCAGGUUAUGGCAGGCCAAAGUUGACUCAAGGUGACUAUCGAUGGAGGCUGGGGUAUUGCCGGGGCAAUUGAAGUCGCCUGUAAGCACGAGCCUGUGAGAUGGGUUAGGAAUCAGAUAUAGGAAUUCCGAAAGCUCAUUUACGAAGGUGUUGAUGCUGCCAUCUGGAGGGCGAUAGAUGGAAAUAAUGUUAAAGCACUCGUUGUUAGUAGUAAGGGAUACGGACUGGACCUCGAAUGUGGCCUGAGCCAUUGGUAGAUGGAGCUCUUUAAUUUUCAAGUGAGCAUUGUAAACGACCGCUAAGCCACCACCCCGCUGGUUAGUUGCGCGAGGUUUAUGUAGAACCUUGUAUCCUGGGGGCGCAACUUCCAGAGAGAUAGCUGGCGGGGAGUCUUGCCUGCACCAGGUCUCAGUGAUGAGCAAAAGGUCGAUGUGGUGGUCCGAGAUGGUAUCGUGAAUCAGGGCUGAUUUAUUGGUGAUGGAGCGUGCGUUGAGCAGACCGAGGCGGAUAUGUGAAGGUAGAUGUGAAGAUCCGUGCAGGUGAGGCGUCGAGGGAACAGAGGAGUUGGCUGGUUUGAGGUCGACCUGUGAACGGCAGCCCCUGCCACCUCUGCAACCACGGUGCCGAUGCAGUCUCCGACGUUGGCCUCGGAGAAGCCCAAGGACAGAGAGCGUCCUCAGGAGUGCGGGUUGCAGGCGAGGCAGGACUUCAUGGCGAGGCAGAAGAGCGGACGGCUCGCCAAGCCAGAGGAGGUGGCUCACCUCUGUGUCUAUUUGGCGUCUGACGAG